GGCCUCGGCGGUGUUUGAGGGCACGUCGCUCGUGAACAUGUUCGUGCGCGGCUGCUGGGUGAACGGCAUCCGCAGGCUCAUCGUCAGCCGGCGCGGCGACGAAGAGGAGUUCUUCGAGAUCCGCACGGAGUGGUCGGACCGCAGCGUGCUCUACCUGCACCGCAGCCUGGCGGACCUGGGCCGCCUGUGGCAGCGCCUGCGCGACGCCUUCCCCGAGGACCGGUCCGAGCUGGCGCGGGGGCCGCUGCGGCAAGACCUAUUCAACAAAUUGCUUGAAUACUGAACAGGCUUUUCCCCUGUAAAACAAAAUCAGACCAGAACUUCUGAAAAACUUAGUCUCCGGACCAAUCAUACUAGGCACGUUUGCGUCAGCCUCAGUCACACAAGUGCGGGGGAGACGCCGGUGUCCUUGGGCACCUACUUCCCCAUCCCUGCAAAGCCGAGGGAUAGAACCUGUGAUGGGAAGACUUCUGCUCUGCACUUCUCAUGGGGAGAUAGAAAAGCACCCAAGCUUUCAUGCCUCGAGCUAUG
rnacentral:sRNA from 1 species